GAUGAACGCUGGCGGCGUGCCUAAUACAUGCAAGUCGAGCGAACAGACGAGGAGCUUGCUCCUCUGACGUUAGCGGCGGACGGGUGAGUAACACGUGGAUAACCUACCUAUAAGACUGGGAUAACUUCGGGAAACCGGAGCUAAUACCGGAUAAUAUAUUGAACCGCAUGGUUCAAUAGUGAAAGACGGUUUUGCUGUCACUUAUAGAUGGAUCCGCGCCGCAUUAGCUAGUUGGUAAGGUAACGGCUUACCAAGGCAACGAUGCGUAGCCGACCUGAGAGGGUGAUCGGCCACACUGGAACUGAGACACGGUCCAGACUCCUACGGGGGGCAGCAGUAGGGAAUCUGCCGCAAUGGGCGAAGGCCUGACGGGGCAACGCGGGGUGAGUGAUGAGGGUCUUCGGUUCGUAAAACUCUGUUAUGAGGGAAGAACAAAUGUGGAAGUAACUAUGCACGUCUGGACGGUACCUAAUGAGAGAGCCGCGGCGAACUGCGU
rnacentral:rRNA from 1 species